GACAGAAGCCGAAGGAGCUUGAGUAGGGAUCGUGACCUCUCCAUUAAUGGAGUGGAUAACAGAAAAUACAUGAGGAUUCUGCAUCUCAAAGUCCUCCAUAUAGGACCCGUGAGAAAAUGUCUCCUGUUCAUCAUAGCCCUGAGAGAGAUGAGGUUGAUCAGUCUGAUCAGGCAUGCAAUGGGCAUUCAAUUUAUCAAAGGAAGGCCCAUCAGAAAAUGUCUGCAUUGUCACGAUCACCAGAAAUGUCUCGAAGUCCAUCAGAAACUUCACCAAAUCCACGGAGAAUGAAUCCCAGCGAAGAUAGGCAAACAAGAGAACAAUUACACCACCAUGACAAGCCAAGUCCUGUCAAGCAACUAAGAGAUCAUAUUAUUCAUCAUGACAAUUCAGGAGCAAGUGAGGAGGAACUUAU